rnacentral:rRNA from 1 species
GAUGAACGCUGGCGGCGUGCCUAAUACAUGCAAGUCGAGCGAACGGACGAGAAGCUUGCUUCUCUGAUGUUAGCGGCGGACGGGCGAGUAACACGUGGAUAACCUACCUAUAAGACUGGGAUAACUUCGGGAAACCGGAGCUAAUACCGGAUAAUAUUUUGAACCGCAUGGUUCAAAAGUGAAAGACGGUCUUGCUGUCACUUAUAGAUGGAUCCGCGCUGCAUUAGCUAGUUGGUAAGGUAACGGCUUACCAAGGCAACGAUGCAUAGCCGACCUGAGAGGGUGAUCGGCCACACUGGAACUGAGACACGGUCCAGACUCCUACGGGAGGCAGCAGUAGGGAAUCUUCCGCAAAGGGCGAAAGCCUGACGGAGCAACGCCGCGUGAGUGAUGAAGGUCUUCGGAUCGUAAAACUCUGAUAUUAGGGAAGAACAUAUGUGUAAGUAACUGUGCACAUCUUGACGGUACCUAAUCAGAAAGCCACGGCUAACUACGUG